AAGUCUUCCUCCUUCGCUUGCCUUGCUUCUGCAUGCCCAUUGAAAAAAAAAAAAAACACUCGAUUUUAGCAAAUCUCACGUUGGCUGCAUAAUACAAGCUCGCUUGGUGGGAUACAAGUUACUUUCCCGUUAGCCUUUCAGAUCUCGAAGAUGAAUAUGCGCUUCACGUUGUCAUUAGCUGUCGUUUUAUCUUUGGUUCUGUUAGUGGAAGAGGCGAAAACUAUUGAUCGUUACAAGGUUCUUGGGGUUGAGCGGAAUGCAAGUCAACGUGAAAUACAGAAA
rnacentral:misc_RNA from 1 species